rnacentral:rRNA from 1 species
GACGAACGCUGGCGGCGUGCUUAACACAUGCCAGUCGAACGAAGAGCGAUGGAAGCUUGCUUCUAUCAAUCUUAGUGGCGAACGGGUGAGUAACGCGUAAUCAACCUGCCCUUCAGAGGGGGACAACAGUUGGAAACGACUGCUAAUACCGCAUACGAUCUAAUCUCGGCAUCGAGGAUAGAUGAAAGGUGGCCUCUACAUGUAAGCUAUCACUGAAGGAGGGGAUUGCGUCUGAUUAGCUAGUUGGAGGGGUAACGGCCCACCAAGGCGAUGAUCAGUAGCCGGUCUGAGAGGAUGAACGGCCACAUUGGGACUGAGACACGGCCCAGACUCCUACGGGAGGCAGCAGUGGGGAAUCUUCCGCAAUGGACGAAAGUCUGACGGAGCAACGCCGCGUGAGUGAUGACGGCCUUCGGGUUGUAAGGCUCUGUUAAUCGGGACGAAAGGCCUUCUUGCGAAUAGUGAGAAGGAUUGACGGUACCGGAAUAGAAAGCCACGGCUAACUACGUG